UACGGGGGGUGCAAGCGUUGUUCGGAAUUACUGGGCGUAAAGGGCUCGUAGGCGGCCAACUAAGUCAGACGUGAAAUCCCUCGGCUUAACCGGGGAACUGCGUCUGAUACUGGAUGGCUUGAGUUCGGGAGAGGGAUGCGGAAUUCCAGGUGUAGCGGUGAAAUGCGCAGAUAUCAGGAGGAACACCAAUUGCGAAGGCAGCUCGCUGGGACGUUACUGACGCUGAGACGCGAAAGCGUGGGGAGCAAACAGG
rnacentral:rRNA from 1 species